UUACGGUGAUAUCGUGUUGAAGCACUGGUUUCCAUAUUAAUACCAAAGCUAAGCAAUGCUGAGCCUGGUCAGUACCUAGAUGGGUGACCGCAUGGGAAUACCAGGUGCUGUAAG